AUUGAAACAUUGGUUCUCAUACAAUCAUCAAAAUUAAGCAACAUUGAGCCUGGUCAGUACCUAGAUGGGUGACCACUUGAGAAUACCAUGUGCUGUAA